CCUACGGGAGGCAGCAGUGAGGAAUAUUGGGCAAUGGGGGCAACCCUGACCCAGCCAUGCCGCGUGAGUGAAGAAGGUCUUCGGAUUGUAAAGCUCUUUCGGACGUGACGAUGAUGACGGUAGCGUCUAAAGAAGCACCGGCAAACUUCGUGCCAGCAGCCGCGGUAAUACGAAGGGUGCGAGCGUUGUUCGGAAUUACUGGGCGUAAGGGGAGUGUAGGCGGAUAUGUAAGAUAGCGGUGAAAUGCCGGGGCCAAACCCCGGCGAGCCGUUGAAACUGGCUGUCUUGAGAUUUCGAGAGGUAUGCGGAAUGCGCAGUGUAGCGGUGAAAUGCUUAGAUAUUGCGCAGAACUCCGAUUGCGAAGGCAGCAUACCGGCGGCGAUCUGACGCUGAGGCACGAAAGCGUGGGUAUCGAACAGGAUUAGAUACCCGUGUAGUC
rnacentral:rRNA from 1 species